rnacentral:lncRNA from 1 species
GAAGAAGGUGCUUGUUUCUUCUUUGCCUUCUGCCAUGAUUGCCAUGUGAAUCGCACCCCUGGAACUGUGCAGGGCCCACCUGUGUGGCCACACGCAGUGACCCUGAGCAAAGGAGUGACCACAGAAGUGCAUGGCAAAGCAGAAAGGUGUGACGUCUUGGAGGACGCGGGAGGAAAGCACGCCCAGCGGACAGGAGCCAUCACGCGGCUGCGGGCUGCUGCUGAGAACCUGGCGUGGGCCACCGUCGUCAGCAGCGUGGAGGUAACUGACGACCUUGGCCAAGAAGUUGGGUGGCAGCGUGGAGGUCAUGCUCAGAGACACUUGUUAUUGCAGUCAGAGUCCAUCUGGAUAAUCCUGGAUAAAUCUCAUCUGGAGAUCCUUCACCAGAUCACAUCGGCAAUGACCUGUUCCCCAAAUAAGGCCCUGUGCACAGGUUCUGGGGUGCUAGGAGUGAGCCACCAUGCCUGGCCCAGUUUUUAAUGCUUGGACAUCUCCAAAAUCAGGACAUAUCUUGUAAUUGAAGACGUCUCACCAUAGCGGCCAGCCGUGCAACCACUGGGCCUGUCUGUGCCUGAACAACACACUGGCCUGCCUUUGCCUGAACAAGACAGCCUUAGUCUCAAAGCUUGCAGAUGGGUGUGGCCUGGUAGAAAAUUCUCAAGACAACGGCGGAGCACGCUUGCCCCUAGGAGACCAAGUGGCCGGAAUGUUGAGAAUCAGCCUUUCGCAGAAAUCCCCUAAGCGGGAGGCAGCAGGCUGACUCCAUCAGCCCCAGGCAGGCUUCUGGGCCCUGCAGCUAUGGCUCUUCAUCCUUUUACAUGUUCUUCGAGAAUCAGCUGCACCCUGGAUGCUUCUGACAGCUCAGAGGACAUCAGCAUGAGGACAAGCACAGGGCUUGAUGGCUCGGAGGGAAAUGGAGUUGGAAGAUUUGGACUUAAUGUGCACACAUUUUAGAAAUAUCUUAACAAAUUUUAUUUUGCUGAUAUCUUUCUUUUUUGUGUGUGCCAAAGUGAUGGCCAGUACAAAUCCAUGUCUAAUUAAGUCCAGAAGAGCUCCUUCAAUAAGCGUAAGAUGAAAGUUAUGAGUGAUAAGAAAGCGUCAUGUCAGUUUAAUUGGCAGCAUUUUCUCUUUCUUAGUGGUUCAUAAAAUAAGGCAGUGCUUUGCUAUCGACGGUGUCUGAAAUUCUGUGAAUAUUCAAAGUUAAAUCUCAUGCUGAACAGCCACUGUGCGCAAGGCGGGUGA